rnacentral:sRNA from 1 species
GUCAGGCUUAGUGACACACACCUGUAAUCCUAGCUACUUGGGAGACUGAGGCAGGAGGAUCACAAGUUCAAGACCAGUCUCAGCAACAUAGCAAGACCCUUUGGCAACAUAGUGAGACUCUGUCUCAA